rnacentral:rRNA from 1 species
AUUGAACGCUGGCGGCAGGCCUAACACAUGCAAGUCGAGCGGAUGAAGGGAGCUUGCUCCUGGAUUCAGCGGCGGACGGGUGAGUAAUGCCUAGGAAUCUGCCUGGUAGUGGGGGAUAACGUCCGGAAACGGGCGCUAAUACCGCAUACGUCCUGAGGGAGAAAGUGGGGGAUCUUCGGACCUCACGCUAUCAGAUGAGCCUAGGUCGGAUUAGCUAGUUGGUGGGGUAAAGGCCUACCAAGGCGACGAUCCGUAACUGGUCUGAGAGGAUGAUCAGUCACACUGGAACUGAGACACGGUCCAGACUCCUACGGGAGGCAGCAGUGGGGAAUAUUGGACAAUGGGCGAAAGCCUGAUCCAGCCAUGCCGCGUGUGUGAAGAAGGUCUUCGGAUUGUAAAGCACUUUAAGUUGGGGUGAAGGGCAGUAAGUUAAUACCUUGCUGUUUUGACGUUACCAACAGAAUAAGCACCGGCUAACUUCGUG